rnacentral:rRNA from 1 species
AUACGGAGGAUGCAAGCGUUAUCCGGAUUUAUUGGGUUUAAAGGGUGCGUAGGCUGUGCGUUAAGUCAGGGGUGAAAUGCCGUCGCUCAACGACGGAGCUGCCCUUGAUACUGGCGUGCUGGAGUACGGAUGCCGUUGGAGGAAUGAGUGGCGUAGCGGUGAAAUGCUUAGAUAUCACUCAGAACACCGAUUGCGAAGGCAUCUGACGAAUCCGUCACUGACGCUGAGGCACGAAAGCGUGGGGAUAGAACAGGAUUAGAUACCCUGGUAUUCCACGCCGUAAACGAUGAUGACUAACCGUCGGCGAUAGACAGCCGGUGGCCAAGCGAAAGCGAUAAGUCAUCCACCUGGGGAGUACGUCGGCAACGAUGAAACUUAAAGGAAUUGACGGGG